UUUUAGUUUUAUCCAUGUCUUGAAAGACAUAAUCUAAAAUAUUUUUCCUAAGUGUGAGUGUAAUUAAAAUGGGUUUGCAAGACCUUAAUGACGUGACUGGAUAUAGUAUAAGCUUAAUAAAUAGAUUUUACAACGAAAGACUAAACUGGGGUACCAAGGGCUAAGGCUGGACAUCAAUCCACAAGGAACUGGUUGGGAAACUAUCCUAGCAAACGAAUACUCCAGCUUCAUGCUAGGGGACGCACUACCAGAAACUGAAAUUUUUCUGUGCGUUAUAACUUUUCCUGUCGGGCCCGCACUAGCGCACAGGAAAAUGGGCCAUAUUCCUGUGCGCCAGGCAAAAACUCACAGAAAAAACAAUAUUGCUGUCGGUCCUGGCCCGGCCCACAGGACUAACCAAUAUCCCUGGCGUGCGUAACCCACAGCGAAAAUGAAGCCCAGGUUUGCCGCCAUGAAUUCAGCCACGCGCGCGAAAACAAAGCCCGUCCCGCCGCUGAACUAAUUUUUGGGCUGCCGCUCACCGGUUGGAAAACUUGGAAUAAAGCCCCAGCGAAAAAAUCCCAGUCAUUCCCCACCCGAGCCAGACAGCGGCGCCCCCAAAUCCCAGAUCUGGCCGCCGCCAGCCAUCGGCGUCCCAGAUCCCUCGUCGUCUCUACGCAGAUGCGCCCCAAAUCCGUCGCCAACCUGCUGCGCCCCAGAUCCCUCGUCGCCGGAUGCGCGUCCGCCAACCUCUCUCCCGCCCCAUUCGCCAUACUCGCUGGGUUGCCGAACAAGGAACAGCCGCCGCCGGAAUAUGGCCGUCAACUUCGCCUCUACCUCCGGAGGGUCGCCGUAAAGGUACCUGCUAAUGUCGUCAAUCGAUCGCCAUCGCAUCCUUCUAUGAGUGCCGCCCCUUUCCAUCCAGAAAAUAACGAGAAUGGUCUCCUUCCUCAUUUGCUGGGUACUGGUAGAAGAAAAUGGCUCUAUACAGACAUUGGUCUUGAAUAGGCCAAGGUAGUUGAUGUCUCUCCUCUGCAACCGUUACAGGACUCCUAAAAAAUCACUUCUUCAGAGGAGGGAAACAAAGUUGGACUGUUAAUUGUAAAGUAGGAGCAAAAUUCAAGAUUCGAGAUCUACGAGAGAUGCAAGAGCUUUUGUUCUAAUCAAGGGACCAAUGAUCCGUUGCAUGGAAAUUACACGGAAUAGGAUCAGCACAACAAGGAGACUGCAGCAGGACGUUAAGGUUAUCAAUAAAGGCAAGAAAUUCUACUUAUUCUUCUGAAUAAAGAGGUACUGUUCCCUGCUGUUACAUUAUUGAAUAAUUGCAUAAUCCUUUGGUUUUUACUGUUAUGGAGAUGAUGAUGACUCUGCCCAUUUUUCUCAAACAUCUGAAAUGGUUAGACUUAACUCCUUGUUAUUUUCUUACUAUACAAUUUUGUGGUGAUGCAUCAUUGAGCACUUGCACUUAAGAGUAUUGACAUUGGUACUGUGAUUUGAGCCUGACUUGCAAGAAGCCUCUAAUAUCUCAUCAAUCCAGACUGUUAGGUGAUAAAUAUUUCUACCUAAUCCAGAAGCAUGUGGUUAGGUUGUCAUUUGAAUGGAUUUUUUCAGUUGCAUGGUUUGUAUAAAUCUGAGAUAUGAUUCUAUCACAAAUUACUCCAUUAUUUUUUCCAUAUAGCUGUAAAAUUGGGUAACUUUGCUGUGACAAAAACAAGUUGUGUAUAUAUGCCACUGUUAUUGCGAGAAACUGAGAUAUCAGAUCGAUUAUGCUUAUUAUAUCUUAUAGAUAUUGUUCCUGUUUGUUGUCACCUUUUUGUAUCAAAGUGUUGACACUUGCACCUUUUUUUAUGCGAGACACUUGCACUUUUGUACAAGUUCAUUUAUGUCCACUGCAGGGUAACCUUGAAGAGAAGCUUGCAACUUAAGCUGUAACCAAACAUUAUGAAAAGAGGUCUCACGCUGUGAAUAUUUAGUUGAUGCACUAGUGAUUUUAGAUGUUGCACCUCUGUUUUCAUUCUCUUUUGAUUCAUGUAUGUAAAUUUGAUGGAAUUGUAUCCGAUGUAUGUGAAUUUGUAACUCCAUGGUUGAUGGAAGCUAUUGAUAGCGAUGUUUCUUUGUUCUAAACAAUCAGAGUAAUAAAAUAGCUAUGCGUAAGACCA